rnacentral:rRNA from 1 species
AGAGUUUGAUCCUGGCUCAGUCUAAACGCUGGCGGCAUGGCUAAAGCAUGCAAGUCGAGGGAUACCUUCGGGUAGACCGGCGGAAGGGCGAGUAAUGGUACCGAACGUGCCCCAGGGUGGGGGAUAGCCGCGGGAAACUGCGGGUAAUACUCCAUGUGCUCUACGGAGGAAAGCUCAGGCGCCCCGGGAGCGGCGGUACUCCUAUCAGGUAGUUGGCGGGGUAAUGGCCCACCAAGCCGAAGACGGGUAGCGGGUGUGAGAGCACGGCCCGCCGCAUCGGGACUGAGACACUGCCCGGACUCCUACGGGAGGCUGCAGCAACGAAUCUUCCGCAAUGCACGAAAGUGUGACGGAGCAAUGCCGCGUGCGGGAUGAAGCGGCUUCGCCGUGUAAACCGCUGUCAGGACCCAGAAAGAACUGAUCGGGUCCAGAGGAAGGGCCGGCUAAUCUCGUGCCAGCAGCCGCGGUAAUACGAAAGGCCCGAGCGUUAGACGGAAUCACUGGGCUUAAAGGGUGCGUAGGCGGAUAUGCAAGCGUGUUGUGAAAGCCCUCGGCUCAACCGAGGAAUCGCGGUGCGAACUGCAUAUCUUGAGGAAGGUAGGGGCCGGCGGAACGUUCGGUGAAGCGGUGAAAUGCGUAGAUAUCGGACGGAACGCCUAUGGUGAAGACAGCCGGCUGGGCCUUGCCUGACGCUGAGGCACGAAAGCGUGGGGAGCAAACAGGAUUAGAUACCCUGGUAGUCCACGCCGUAAACGAUGCGCACUGGAUCGGUGCGGGUCUGACCCCGUGCUGGUCGGAGAGAAAUUGGUAAGUGCGCCGCCUGGGAAGUACGGUCGCAAGGCUAAAACUCAAAGGAAUUGACGGGGGCUCACACAAGCGGUGGAGCAUGUUGCUUAAUUCGAAGCAACGCGAAGAACCUUACCUGGGCUUGACAUGCACGGAUUAGUCUUUGGAAACAGGGAUGACGCCUUCGGGUGGAACGUGCACAGGUGCUGCAUGGCUGUCGUCAGCUCGUGCUGUGAAGUGUCGGGUUAAGUCCCUUAACGAGCGCAACCCUUGUCGCUAGUUGCCAGCGAGUCAUGUCGGGGACUCUAGCGAGACUGCCGGUGUCAAACCGGAGGAAGGUGGGGAUGACGUCAAGUCCUCAUGGCCCUUACGCCCAGGGUGGCAAACGUGCUACAAUGGCACGGACAGAGCGAUGCGAGGCCGCGAGGCGGAGCAAAUCGCAAAAACUGUGCCCCAGUUCGGAUUGUAGUCUGCAACUCGACUACAUGAAGCCGGAAUCGCUAGUAAUCGCGGAUCAGCCAUGCCGCGGUGAAUACGUUCCUGAGCCUUAUACACACCGCCCGUCACGUCAUGGAAGCUGGGAGUGCCCGAAGUCGCCAUAUCUCAAUGGUGCCCACGGCAAGCUCGGUGACUGGGACGAAGUCGUAACAAGGUAACC